rnacentral:rRNA from 1 species
UGGGGAAUUUUGGACAAUGGGCGAAAGCCUGAUCCAGCAAUGCCGCGUGUGUGAAGAAGGCCUUCGGGUUGUAAAGCACUUUUGUCCGGAAAGAAAUCCUUGGCUCUAAUACAGUCGGGGGGAUGACGGUACCGGAAGAAUAAGCACCGGCUAACUACGUGCCAGCAGCCGCGGUAAUACGUAGGGUGCAAGCGUUAAUCGGAAUUACUGGGCGUAAAGCGUGCGCAGGCGGUUUGCUAAGACCGAUGUGAAAUCCCCGGGCUCAACCUGGGAACUGCAUUGGUGACUGGCAGGCUAGAGUAUGGCAGAGGGGGGUAGAAUUCCACGUGUAGCAGUGAAAUGCGUAGAGAUGUGGAGGAAUACCGAUGGCGAAGGCACGCCCUGGGCCAAUACUGACGCUCAUGCACGAAAGCGUGGGGAGCAAACAGGAUUAGAUACCCUGGUAGUCCACGCCCUAAACGAUGUCAACUAGUUGUGGGGAUUCAUUCCUUAGUAACGUAGCUAACGCGUGAAGUUGACCGCCUGGGGAGUACGUCGCAAGAUUAAAACUCAAAUGAAUUGACGGGGUCAUAGCUG